rnacentral:rRNA from 1 species
ACCCUGGGAUAAGCCUGGGAAACUGGGUCUAAUACCGGAUAGGACCAUGCUUUAGUGUGUGUGGUGGAAAGUUUUUCGGUGUAGGAUGAGCCCGCGGCCUAUCAGCUUGUUGGUGGGGUAAUGGCCUACCAAGGCGGCGACGGGUAGCCGGACUGAGAGGUUGGUCGGCCACAUUGGGACUGAGAUACGGCCCAG